GAUGAACGCUGGCGGCGUGCCUAAUACAUGCAAGUCGAGCGAACAGACGAGAGUGCUUGCACUCUCUGACGUUAGCGGCGGACGGGUGAGUAACACGUGGGUAACCUACCUAUAAGACUGGGAUAACUUCGGGAAACCGGAGCUAAUACCGGAUAAUAUUUAGCUUCGCAUGAAGCAAUAGUGAAAGACGGUUCUGCUGUCACUUAUAGAUGGACCCGCGGUGUAUUAGCUAGUUGGUGAGGUAACGGCUCACCAAGGCAACGAUACAUAGCCGACCUGAGAGCGUGAUCGGCCACACUGGCACUUAGACACGGCCCAGACUCCUACGGGAGGCAGCAGUAGGGAAUCUUCCGCAAUGGACGAAAGUCUGACGGAGCAAUGCCGCGUGAGUGAAGAAGGUUUUCGGAUCGUAAAACUCUGUUGUAAGGGAAGAACAAGUACGUUAGUAACUGAACGUACCUUGACGGUACCUUACCAGAAAGCCACGGCUAACUACGUG
rnacentral:rRNA from 1 species